rnacentral:miRNA from 1 species
AAAAUACCUGAGCAAUGUUUGCAGUAAGGCACGGUGUAUAUGUAUAUAUACACCGUGCCUUAAUGCAAACAUUGCAUAUAUAUAUAUAUAUA